UACGUAGGGUGCAAGCGUUAAUCGGAAUUACUGGGCGUAAAGCGUGCGCAGGCGGUUCGCUAAGACAGAUGUGAAAUCCCCGGGCUUAACCUUGGAACUGCAUUUGUGACUGGCGGGCUAGAGUAUGGCAGAGGGGGGUAGAAUUCAUGGUGUAGCAGUGAAAUGCGUAGAGAUCAUGAGGAAGACCAGUGGCGAAGGCGGGUCUCUGGACAGUUCCUGACACUGAGACACGAAGGCCAGGGGAGCAAACGGG
rnacentral:rRNA from 1 species